rnacentral:rRNA from 1 species
UACGAAGGGGGCUAGCGUUGUUCGGAAUCGCGGGGCGUAAAGCGCACGUAGGCGGAUUGUUAAGUCAGGGGUGAAAUCCUGGAGCUCAACUCCAGAACUGCCUUUGAUACUGGCGAUCUCGAGUCCGGGAGAGGUGAGUGGAACUGCGAGUGUAGAGGUGAAAUUCGUAGAUAUUCGCAAGAACACCAGUGGCGAAGGCGGCUCACUGGCCCGGUACUGACGCUGAGGUGCGAAAGCGUGGGGAGCAAACAGG